UACGUAGGGUGCAAGCGUUGUCCGGAAUUAUUGGGCGUAAAGAGCUCGUAGGCGGUUUGUUGCGUCGGCUGUGAAAUCCCCGAGGCUCAACCUCGGGUCUGCAGUCGAUACGAGCAAAACUAGAGUGUUGCAGGGGGAGACUGGAAUUCCUGGUGUAGCGGUGAAAUGCGCAGAUAUCAGGAGGAACACCGGUGGGCGAAGGCGGGGUCUCGUGGGCAACAACUGACGCUGGAGGAGCGAAAGCCGUGGGGAGCGAACAGGA
rnacentral:rRNA from 1 species